UCAGAAAGGCACAGGGGAGGCAUAAUAAGGAUUCUAAGAAUUACAGCCCUGGGGCCACAAUGAGUGCUGGUCGAGGCUUGACUGUUUUGUUAACCAUUUUGGUUGCUGUUGCAAAAGCAGAAACUAUGGCAACGACAACAGAAACUACGGCAACGACAACAGAAACUGCGGCUCCAACAACUGGUUCAACUGCAGUAACAACAACAGAAACUGCGGCAACAACAACAACAACAGAAACUGCGGCUACAACAACUGGUUCAACUGCAUCAAUAACAACAGAAACUGCGGCUACAACAACUGGUUCAACAGCAGUAACAACAACAGAAACUGCAGCAACAACAACAACAGAAACUGCAUCGACAACAACUGGUUCAACUGCAGUAACAACAACAGAAACUGCGGCAACAACAACUGGUUCAACUGCAGUAACGACAACAGAAACUGCGGCAACAACAACAACAGAAACUGCGGCUACAACAACUGGUUCAACUGCAUCAAUAACAACAGAAACUGUGGCAACAACAACUGGUUCAACUGCAAUAACAACAACAGAAACUGCGGCAACAACAACAGAAACUGCGGCGACAACAACUGGUUCAACUGCAGUAACAACAACAGAAACUGCGGCUACAACAACUGGUUCAACUGCAUCAAUAACAACAGAAACUGCGGCAACAACAACUGGUUCAACUGCAAUAACAACAACAGAAACUGCGGCAACAACAACAGAAUCUGCAGCAACAACAACAACUGGUUCAACAACACCUGCUUCAACUGCGGCAACAACAACAACUGGUUCAACUGCAGCAGCAACAACAGAAACUGCGGCAACAACAACAGAAUCUGCAGCAACAACAACUGGUUCAACAACACCUGCUUCAACUGCGGCAACGACAACUGGUUCAACUGCAGCAACAACAACAGAAACUGCGGCAACAAUAACUGGUUCAACUGCCCCAACAGUAACAGAAACUGCGUCUACAACAACUGGUUCAACUGCAUCAAUAACAACAGAAACUGCGGCAACAACAACUGGUUCAACUGCAGCAACAACAACAGAAGCUGCAGCAACAACAACUGGUUCAACAACACCUGCUUCAACAGCAGCAACAACAACUGGUUCAACUGCGGCAGUAACAACACCUGGUUCAACUGCGGCAACAACAACAACUGGUUCAACAACAGUAACAACAACUGGUUCAACUGCAACAACAACACCUGGUUCAACAACAACACCUGGAUCAAAAACAGCAACAACAACUGGUUCAACAGCAGCAACAAUAACACCUAAUGCAACAACAACACCUGGAUCAACAACAACUGGUUCAACUGCGGAAACGACAACAGAAUCUGUGGCAACAACAACAAGUGGUUCAACAAUAGUAACAACAACUGGUUCAACUGCGUCAACAACACCAGAAACCGGAUCAUCAAGAACACCUGGAUCAACAACAACUGGUUCAACUGCGGCAACGACAACAGAAACUGCGGCAACAACAACAACUGGUUCAACUGCAUCAACAACAAUACCAGAAACUGUAUCAACAAAAACACCUGGUUCAGCGACAACUGGUUCAACAGCAGCAACAACAACACCUGGUUCAACAAAAACACCUGGCUCAACAACAACUGGUUCAACUGCAGCAACACCAACAGAAUCUGCGGCAACAACAACUGGGUCAACAGCGGCAACAACAACACCUGGUUCAACAGCAGCAGCAACAACACCUGGUUCAACAACAACACCUGGAUCAACAACAACUGGUUCAACAGCGGCAACAACAACACCUGGUUCAACAACAACAACUGGAUCAACAACAACUGGUUCAACUCCAAAAAACACAACACUUGUUUCAACAACAACUGGUUCAACACCAGCAACAACAACUGGUUCAACAACAGUAACAACAACUGGUUCAACUGCGGCAACAACAACACCUGCUUCAAUAACAACACCUGGAUCAACAACUACUGUUUCAACUGCGGAAACGACAACACAAUCUGCGGCAACAACAACAAAUAGUUCAACAACAGUAACAACAACUGGUUCAACUGCGGCAACAACAACGCCUGUUUCAACAACAACUGGUUCAACUGCUUCAACAACAACGCCUGUUUCAAAAACAACUGGUUCAACAGCAGCAACAACAACUGGUUCAACAACAGCAACAACAACUGGUUCAACUGCGGCAACAACGCCUGGUUCAACAACAACUGGUUCAACUCCAACAAACACAACACUUGUUUCAACAACAACUGGUUCAACACCAGCAACAACAACUGGUUCAACAACAGUAACAACAACUGGUUCAACAGCGGCAACAACAACACCUGUUUCAACGACAACUGGUUCAACACCAGCAACAACAACACCUGCUUCAAUAACAACACCUGGAUUAACAACUACUGUUUCAACUGCGGCAACGACAACACAAUCUGCGGCAACAACAACAAAUGGUUCAACACCAGCAACAACAACUGGUUCAACAGCAGCAGUAACAACAAAUGGUUCAACUGUGGCAACAACAGAAAAAACGACGAUGACGACGACGACGACGAGAACAACAACAACAACAACAACAACAACAACAACAACAACAACAACAACAACAACAACAACAACAACAGCAGCAGCAGUGGCGGUAGUUCGUACACCAGUUGUUGUUCUUGCAGCAGUUUUGGUUAAACCCUUUGUGCCUCAACUCAAAGAUAAAACUAGUCCAGAAUUUAUAGCACUUGCGACAGAAGUGGUAGUAGUGUAUGAAGUCAUCUAUAGAGCUCGAUAUGGUUUGCUUUUCAGCCGUGUUAUUGUCAUAGCAUUCAGACAAGCUGGGACCAGAACACGAGCAUCUGAUACUGAAGCAGAAGUGCAGGUUGUGUUUAACAACACAAUAACACCUGCACAAAUCCCAGAAGCUGAAGCUGUUCAACAAACCUUAGUUGAAGCGGUGUCUAACCCCAACAACACUUUCAACAUCAGUAUCAGUCCAGCAUCUGUCGUAGCAACCCAAAUAAACAUUUUUACAAAGCUGUUGCGGUUCGCAUCGGUUGGAGAGACAUUUACAGCUGACUUGCUGAUCUCAUCAUCUCCAGCAUUUAAAAAUAGAUCAUCACUGAUAGUGACAACACUUGAACCGAUCUACAAUAAAACAUUUUCUUCAUACAACUCAAUGGAAGUGACUGGAUUCCGAAAUGGAUCCAUCAUCACUGACAUCUACAUUCAGUUUGCAUCUACAUCAGCGCCAAAUAACACUGACAUUGAAAAUGUUCUGAUCAAUGCAGCUCCAAACAUAACAGCCUUCAACAUUACCAAUGUUGUUGUCAGUGACCCAGUGGCUUCAACUACAACAACAAUGACUGCACCUACAAACGCAACCACAGCAAACCUUACAAACACCACACCAGGAACAAAUACAACUACAGUGUCUACAACAGCUUCAAGUACACCUGUGAACGCUACAACACCAAUCAUCACUACCCCAACAAACGCAACCACAGUUUCUCCUACAACCACUACAACUGUAACAACUACAAUUGUUGAGGCUGUUACAACAAAGCAGUUGCAGUUCAGAGAUGUUGGAGCAACAUUUACACCUGACUUAGAGAACUCAUCAUCUUCAGCAUUUACAGAAAGAGCCAGACAGACAGUGUUAACACUCGAACCUUUCUACAAGACAACAUUUCCUUCAUUCCGCUCAAUGAGAGUGAUCAGAUUCAGAAAUGGAUCCAUCAUCAGUGACGUUGAUAUUGACUUUGCAUCUAUAUCAGUGCCUAAUAACACUGAGAUUGAAAAUGUUUUGAUCAAUGCAGCUCCAAACAUAACGACCUUCAACAUUAGCACAGAGUCUGUUAUUGUCAGUGACCCAGUGGUUUUACCUACAACUGUGAGCACUACAACACCAAUGAUGACUACCCCUACAAACGCAACCAUAGCAACUCUUACAAACACCACACCAGGAACAAAUACAACUACAGUGUCUACAACAGCUUCAACUACACCUGUGAAUGCUAUAACACCAAUGAUGACUACCCCUACAAACGCAACCACAGCAAAUCUUACAAACACCACACCAGGAACAAAUACAACUACAGUGUCUACAACAGCUUCAACUACACCUGUGAAUGCUACAACACCAAUGAUGACUACCCCUACAAACGCAACCACAGCAAAUCUUACAAACACCACACCAGGAACAAAUACAACUACAGUUUCUACAACAGCUUCAACUACACCUGUGAAUGCUACAACACCAAUGAUGACUACCCCUACAAACGCAACCAUAGCAAAUCUUACAAACACCACACCAGGAACAAAUACAACUACAGUGUCUACAACAGCUUCAACUACACCUGUGAAUGCUACAACACCAAUGAUGACUACCCCUACAAACGCAACCAUAGCAAAUCUUACAAACACCACACCAGGAACAAAUACAACUACAGUGUCUACAACAGCUUCAACUACACCUGUGAAUGCUACAACACCAAUCAUCACUACCCCAACAAACGCAUCCACAGUUACUCCUACAACCACUACAGCUGUAAGAACUACAACUAUUGAGGCUGUUACAACAAAGCAGUUGCAGUUCAGAGAUGUUGGAGCAACAUUUACACCUGACUUAGAGAACUCAUCAUCUUCAGCAUUUACAGAAAGAGCCAGACAGACAGUGUUAACACUCGAACCUUUCUACAAGACAUUUCCUUCAUUCCGCUCAAUGAGAGUGAUCAGAUUCAGAAAUGGAUCCAUCAUCAGUGACGUUAAUAUUGACUUUGCAUCUAUAUCAGUGCCUAAUAACACUGAGAUUGAAAAUGUUUUGAUCAAUGCAGUUUCAAACAUAACGACCUUCAACAUUAGCAAAGAGUCUGUUAUUGUCAGUGACCCAGCGACUCCUACAACCACUUUGACUGCAACAACUACAACUACAGCGACUCCUACAACCACUACAACUGCAGCAACUACAACUGCAGCAACUGCAACUACAGCAACUCCCACAACCACUAAAGCUGUAACAACUACAACUGCUGAGCCAGUACAAAAAAAGGCAGUGCAAUUCAGAUCUGUUAAUGGGAUAUUUAUAACUGACUUGCUGACAUCAUCAUCCACAGCUUUUAAAGAACGAGCUUCACUGAUAGAGACAGCACUUAAACCUUUCUACCUGGCCAGAUUUCCUUCAUUCCGCUCCAUCAAUGUGACUGCAUUCAGUAAGGGAUCCAUUAUCAAUAACAUGGACAUUGGAUUUGCAAUGUCACUGGUCCCUAAUGCAAAAGAGAUUGCACAAGUUUUGAUUGAUGCAGCCAAGAUAACACCCUUCGACAUUGAUAUCAGUUCUAUUCUUGUGGACGGCAUAUUGUCACAUGGAGUGAGCCACAAGAUCAGUCUCCUCACUGCUUCCUGUAUGGUGCUGCUGUCAUGGCUCCUGUCAGGCCAGCAAUAACAUCUGCGCUGAUGCUCUUGUGAAAUAACUUGAGGAAAUGUCUCCUGUGACUGGGUAUGAAAAAGGACUUUGUUCCAACUGAAAAUCCACGAGGAGCUUCUGAUGAAGAGCAAUCAUACCAUGAUUUAGAAGUAGCUAAAACUGAAAUUAACCUUUAUGUUAUCUAUCAAUAUAAACUUUAACAUAAUUUCCAACAAAGGUGUCAUUGGUUGUCAAUUUAUAAUGUAAGUCCUGUGAUAAAGUCAUACUGUAAGUUAUUAAUAUCAAUGAGAUCAAGUUUUAAUCCAUGAAGCAUCUCCUCAGCUUCUGACUCUGAGAGUGAAAAAAAAUGAAAGUGAUAAUCAGGAAAUCAUCACCUCACCUGGCAUUCAUGAAAUAUAAGAUGUGUGAAAAUGUCCUCUUUGGUCACCUUUACCAGUCAAUAUUUAAAUAUAUUUCUUGUAUAUAUUGUAUUCUAUUAUUGUAUGUAUUCUGUUUGUAUUGUAUUGGAUAAUUAUGGUAAAAAUUCUAAGUGAUCCUGAUACACACAUUUAAAAUUAUUUAAAGAACUGUCCCUAUAAAAAAAUAUAAUAUUAAUAUCACCUUUUUCUUUCUGAAGCAGGUUCUUCACAAGUCUAUCAUGAUAAACUAAAGAAGCGUCAAUUAAAGACAUUGAACAAACCCUGCCUAUCUUGAUUUUUAAAUAUACUACUCUAAUCAACUACUCUAAUUUUUCUUUUCAAAAAAUUGAUUAGGAAAUACUAUCAUAGCACUCUUAAGACCCCUUCAUAGAUUUUUGAUACAAGUAAAACUAAAUCUAAUUCUAAUAAUU
ensembl:lncRNA